rnacentral:rRNA from 1 species
UACGGGGGGGGCAAGCGUUGUUCGGAAUUACUGGGCGUAAAGGGCUCGUAGGCGGCCAACUAAGUCGGAUGUGAAAUCCCCAGGCUUAACCUGGGAACUGCAUCCGAUACUGGUUGGCUUGAAUCCGGGAGAGGGAUGCGGAAUUCCAGGUGUAGCGGUGAAAUGCGUAGAUAUCUGGAGGAACACCGGUGGCGAAGGCGGCAUCCUGGACCGGCAUUGACGCUGAGUGAGCGAAAGCCAGGGGAGCAAAACGGGG